rnacentral:rRNA from 1 species
GACGAACGCUGGCGGCGUGCUUAACACAUGCAAGUCGAACGGAAAGGCCCUGCUUUUGUGGGGUGCUCGAGUGGCGAACGGGUGAGUAACACGUGAGUAACCUGCCCUUGACUUUGGGAUAACUUCAGGAAACUGGGGCUACUACCGGAUAGGAGCUCCUGCUGCAUGGUGGGGGUUGGAAAGUUUCGGCGGUUGGGGAUGGACUCGCGGCUUAUCAGCUUGUUGGUGGGGUAGUGGCUUACCAAGGCUUUGACGGGUAGCCGGCCUGAGAGGGUGACCGGGCACAUUGGGACUGAGAUACGGCCCAGAGUCCUACGGGAGGCAGCAGUGGGGAAUAUUGCACAAUGGGCGGAAGCCUGAUGCAGCAACGCCGCGUGCGGGAUGACGGCCUUCGGGUUGUAAACCGCUUUCGCCUGUGACGAAGCGUGAGUGACGGUAAUGGGUAAAGAAGCACCGGCUAACUACGUG